UCCGAAAGACAUCGUCAGAUGCGGGAUGGAUUUGGAAGCUUUGCUCGAAACCUUGGAGUCUUGCGAUCAGUUGGAAGUGGCGGAAUCCCUGAAGGAAUUUAACAAGGAGUACGCCGAGUGCUUCUUCUUCAAUGCUGAGGAACGAGAGAGGCGGAAGCAACAAGAAUUGGAGGAGGUAAUGGAAUAUAUUUGCCCCCCCGUCCACCCCCGACCCUCUCGUUAGCCCUCAAGCAU